rnacentral:pre_miRNA from 1 species
AGAGGAAAUGCUGGGUCAUAUAGCAAUUCUAUGUUUAACUUUUUGAAGAACUGCCAAACUGUUUUCCAAAGUAGCUACACUAUUUUACAUUAUCAUCAGCAAU